AAAAUCUUCCACCUUCUUCCUGUUAGGGAUGCCAGAUUCUCAAAUAAGAAGAUGGCAGUCAGUCUCACAUCAUCCUGCUCCUGUGACGACAGAUGCAUGUCAUGGACUGAGAAACAUUAUGUUGACCAGAAAACUCAUAGGUGAUUAUCGGAGGCUCAGAUCCAAGAGAAUUAUCAUCACUGGACCAACAACAGCCUAGGGAACCUAACAAACAGAAGAUACAUCAUUGGAAGAUACAGCAUUGAGUGGGAGCCAAGAAAGCAGUUUUGAGGACAAGAUGAGAAUUAAAAAGUAAUGUUGGUAACAUUGGAGAAGGUAGCCGGAAACAAGCAGAAAGCUGCUGUCAAAGGAAACUAAAAAAUACAAAACUGGAGAAUUAUUGACUGUGGGUAUAUAUUACAGACUAAAAUCCAGAAGUCUAUACAGUUAACGGAUUGUCAAAGAGUCAGGAGGAAAGGGCAAGAGUUAUAAAAAAAAAAUUGGAGUGGAUAAAUUAAAAAAUCAGACCUGAGAGGUAAUUUUUCUUCAGGUUGUAUUCAAUACUCUGCAGGCCACAUCUAGAGAUACAACACAGUCACUGGCUUGUAAAAUAUUUAAGGAGCUGAAAAAUUAGGUUUAUUAUGAAUAAUGAAGGAAAUGAAGACUUUUCAGUCUGGAGACUAGAAGGUAGAAAGGUAAUUUAAUCAAGCCUUAAUGUUUAAGAGGAGGAAACCAGCAGUUUUCCAUCUCCUCUGACAACAAACAUGAGGAAACAGUUUUCGAUUACAAAAAACAGAUAUAAGUUGGAGGUGAAAGAGAUUUUACACUGAUGACGGUGAAUAAGCCAAAAAUAAUAAUAAAAUCUAGUUUUCUGGAAGGUAUAAAGGAAAAUGACUUUCCUCUGUUCUAGGGUCACCAACUGAUCUUUUUUGAAAUUUAUUUCUAGGCUAUUGACUAGAUUGGGGGUUGGCAAGUUCUUUCUGUAAAGGGCCAGACAGUAACUAAUUUAGACUUUGGGGGCCAUAUGGUUUCUGUAACAGCUAAUCAACUCUGCAGAUGAAGUGUGAAAGCAACCAUAGACAAUAUGUAACCGGUGAGCGUGGCUGUGCUCCGAAUAAAACCUAAUUUAUGAAAAGAUGCUCGGGGCGGGAUUUGGCCCACUGGCUAUAGUUUAUACUGACUCCUCGAUGAAGUGAACCACACAAGCAUUUUGAACCUUUGAAUCUUGAUGUGGAAAAGAGUGCUGGAGAUGACAAGGUCUUUACUGGGGCCUUUGUUCUGUGUUGAGUUCUGCGGUAGUUUUUGGGAAUGACAGGACAGAGAGGAAAGCUGUGAAAGGGAAUAUACAUGAGGGUAUUGCCCUUAUGGGCAAGUGGAGCUCAAUCCUUGUGAUGGGUGAGGAAGCUGGGAAGUUUAUUUGCAAACUUUUGUUUCUUAUUGUUUAUUUCCUGUUUGUUCUCAUUUGUCUGGCCCACCCUGCUCAGAGCAAUCCUGAUUCCCAGGCCAGAGAGUACCCUCAGGCCGAGAGAGAGGCAAGAAGCCAGCAGCCUGCAUAAGAACUGUACAAGUGACCUCUGUGCAGGUGACCCGUGUGCGGGUGACCACAGGAGAAGGCCAAGGAAUAUGGAUGGGACGCCAGCAUUGCCUGCUACCAGCACCACCUGAAUCUCUUUCUGCUCACUCACUCCUGGGAGGGCAGAAUUCUGAACAGACUCACUUACGU